GCUCUCUUCGUCUAGAGGCCCAGGACAACGCCCUCUCACGGCGUGAACAGGGGUUCGAAUCCCCUAGAGAGCGCCA
rnacentral:tRNA from 1 species